AAUUAAUUAAAGCUUCAACGAUGAAGACGAUAGUGAUCCAGAGGCCAGCCCUCCCCUGCAGUCUCUGCUCCUCCCUGUAGCCAGGGCAGCCCUCCCGAAGCACAUAUUCCUUCCUGCCAUUGCCAAGACCAAGCAUUAGUGACUUCAGACUGUCCGAUUGUGUGAGGUUCUCCAGCAGCCCUUGACGGCCCAGGCCAGUCCAGAGAAGGCUGAUGAUGAAUGAAUCCGUCUUGGAAAUUUCUCACCCAGAAAACGAAACCAAGGCAGAAUGUGAUUUAGGUGAUUGACCCAAGGCAAAUUGAGGAAGCCGCUGAAGUAGGGUUGCCAGAGAAGAUACAUGACACCCGGGGCGCCUGGGUGGCACAGCGGUUAAGCGUCUGCCUUCGGCUCAGGGCGUGAUCCUGGUGUUACGGGAUCGAGCCCCACAUCAGGCUCC